rnacentral:rRNA from 1 species
UACGGAGGGUGCAAGCGUUGUUCGGAAUUACUGGGCGUAAAGCGUGCGUAGGCGGUUUGUUAAGCUGGAUGUGAAAGCCCCGGGCUCAACCUGGGAAUUGCACUCAGAACUGGCAGGCUAGAGUACGGUAGAGGUGAGUGGAAUUUCCUGUGUAGCGGUGAAAUGCGUAGAUAUAGGAAGGAGCAUCAGUGGCGAAGGCGACUCACUGGACUGAUACUGACGCUGAGGUGCGAAAGUGUGGGGAGCAAAC